AGACCAGACGUGGACAGAGAAGCCUAUCGAGAGGGCCUGGGGGAGGGAGGAGGCAGCAGGGCCGGAGUCCUCCCAGGACAUCUGGCACCAGUGACCUUGUGGGGAAAGGAGCCAAGAACGGGGCAGCCGGGGGCCUGGGACCCCCCUGCCUGAGAGACACAGGAACCCUGGCCCCGUGUUGUGGACACGAGCGCCCAUCCUCAAGGUCUUGAGAACUCCUGAACUUCCAAAGCCCCGGCACUGAGGACCCACCCUCAGGCCCCCUCCCUCCAUCUCUGAGGAAAAGGCAGCAGGAGCCACAGCUUCCUCCUCCCCCCUCCCUGCUGCCGCCACUGAGCCGGGCCUGAGCUGCCGGCAGGUUGUCUUGGCAACGGGAGGUGGAGAGGAGAUGCGCCGAGGGAUGGAGGUGUAUGUCACCGAGGAGGCUGCUGCGCUCCUGCCCCACGCCCUGGGCCCUUGAAGCCUGGAGAGUCACCGCCGAGGGAUGAGGACGCGCCAGCCCGGGGGGACGCGCCGGCUGCUUUCGCGGCCCCGAACGCGCAGCGCCCAGCAGCCGCGCCAAGCCUGACACGCUGUC
rnacentral:sRNA from 1 species